CUGUUUAUUUACAUUAUCACCAUAAGAAAAUGAUUUCAGAAUCGGAGGGUGACAAGAGUUGUGAGGAAGGACAAGACGUAGCAAGGAGGAGGCUGGAUGAAGCUUUGAUACAGAAGAAAAAACAGUUCCAGAAUUUAAGGAACAUUAAAGGAAGAACAAUAAAACGGCGAGAUACGGAUAAACAACAGAGACUUACUGCGUUCAAGGAGUCUUACAAAGGGAAAAAAGAGGUACCUCAAAGAAACAAGCCAUGGUCGGUUCUUGAGUGGCAAAACCAUUGGAAUUCCCUUGACCAAAGACAACAGGACAAUCUAGAUCGCAAGAAGUCUCACUGCCAUUUAAGUAUUGGUUCGAAGAUUAAUGAGAUGGCUGCAGAUUACAAUGCCUCAGUAAUUUGCUUAAUCCGUUACCCCAAUGGAACUCAACACACCAAGUAUGUGUUAGUAAGCGGAGGUGGAAUUAAAUAUUCCAAAUCAAGAGACGGUGUUCUAACUGAACAACUCUGGCAUAGAUAUUGGAACAAAAAACAAAAUAAACGACAACAGUUAUGUGAGGAGAAUGGCCUGUGGCUUGAGAGAGCCAGUAAAAGAAAAAGAAAAGAGAGAACAGUGGAAAGGACAGAGAAAGAGAAAAGUAUGCAAUCAGGAAACAGGAAACAGAGAAAGAGAGAAAGACAAUUUGAUAAUGAGAACGUAGAGAGUGAAGAAGAAUACAAUGAAAGAUUGGACAGCGGAAUAGAGAAUCAGAACAUAGGAAAAUCACACAACGAGACAGUAGAAAGCGAAGAAGAUAACGACGAAAGAUUGGAAAGGGGGAUAUGGAAUCAGACAAUAGGACAAACACGUAAUGAGAGCGUAGAGAGCGAUGAAGAAAAUGAUGAAAGAUUAGACAGGGGAAUAUGGAAUCAGACAACAGGCGACAAUGGGAAUAAUGAGAGAGUAGAGAGCGAUGAAGAAAACGAUAAAAUAGGAGAAACAAGUAAUGUAGAAAGCGAAGAAGAAUACGACGGAAGAUGGGACAAAGGAAUAGGGAGCCAGAAAAUAAGACAAUCAGAUAACGAGAGCGUACGAAGCGAAGAAGAAAACUUUGAAAUAUGGGGGGGGGGAAAUGGGGAACAGGUAACAAAUAUAUACAAAAUAGAAUUCAAAUUUCAAAGAUUGUUUGUUACAACAUAACAAGGGUACAAAGCAAACAGACAAUGACCCUUUAGAAAACGAAGAAGAAGACGAGGAAGGAAGGAGCAAAGGCAUGGGAAAACAGAAAAAAGAAGGAAGGGAAUCAGAUAAUGAAAUAGUACAAAACGAAGAAAAAGACGAGGAAGGAUGGGAAAAAGAAAUGAAAAAACGGGAAACAAAUAUAUACCAGAAUAAACAUACUAGUUUGAAACAUUCUUUUUUAUAAUAGAAAGAGGAAAGAAGGCAUCCGUCGACUGAGGCUUCCGAGGCCAGCGAGACGGCUGCUGCUGAGGCUGAAUCGUAUGAAAUCAUGGUCAAAGCGAAUCGAUCAUUCGCGGACAGAAUCGGGGCGGUUACGCGUUCAAAAUUGGCAAUUGAAAAUAGAGCUACUAUUAUUCACAUAAACUACAAAGAAUGGAAAUAAAGAUAAACAAUUUUUGUAGAUCCUAAAUUGGCACAAUUGCCUCAUGUAAAAAUAAACCGUCUGCCGUCAUCUAUUGCUCACCAGGAAAAAAGAACAGAAACAGGAAGAGGAGAAGGAAAAGGAGCAGGAAGAGGAACAGGAAGAGGAUCAGGAAGAGGAUCAGUAUCAGGUUCAGGAACAGGUUUAGGAACAGGAACAUAUACAGGAAGAGGAAGAGGGAUAGGGAGAGGAACAGGAACAAGAACAGGAAAAGGAACAGGAACAGGAACAGGAACAGAAACAGGAACGGGAACAAGACGAGUAGGAAGACCACGAAAAGAAGAAAAACGUUUGUUGAAGCAGUAAAAUUAACAUUGUGCGUACUUUUUGUGUAUGUUUAAAAAUAACUGGCAGUAACCUAGUCCUUAUUUUGAUAUUAAUCCGGUCAGGCAAGAGGAAUACAACGAAUUCAGAAGCAGAA
rnacentral:misc_RNA from 1 species